rnacentral:rRNA from 1 species
ACUUACGGCCAUACCACACUGACAACGCCCGAUCUCGUCUGAUCUCGGAAGCUAAGCAGAGUUGGGCUGGGUCAGUACUUGGAUGGGUGACCGCCUGGGAAUACCCGGUGCUGUAAGCA